GUUCUUAUGGCAUAAUAUAAUUGCCUAGCAUUCAGUGUUUUCAACGCUUAUGAAUUUUAGCAGUUUUUUUUUUAAUUUUGUUCAACAGAAGACUACCAAGGAUGAAUACACUUCAAAGGAAUGCAAAAAGUCAGUGAGGAGUACCGGGUUCCCAUUACCACUCCACUUUGAUUUGAAGAGGUUUCACCUAAGACUGUUCCUGUAUGAAUUUCAGAAAAAAAAAAGAUGAAAAGAAGAUAAAAGUAAUAUUCCUACCAUUACUACGAUGACUACUACUACUAAAUUACUACUACUACUGUUACUGCUUCCAAGGCAAUAAAAGAUUUCAAAAUAGAGACA
rnacentral:lncRNA from 1 species